rnacentral:snRNA from 1 species
GUGCUAACCUUGGUAGCAUACAUAUUAAAAUUAGAAUGAUACAGAGAAGAUUAGCAUGGCCCCUGCAAAAGGAUGACAUGUAAAUUCAUAAGACAGUCCAUAUUUUU